rnacentral:rRNA from 1 species
CAGUCGCCGCGGGAAUACGUAGGGUGCGAGCGUUAAUCGGAAUUACUGGGCGUAAAGCGUGCGCAGGCGGUUUUGUAAGACAGGCGUGAAAUCCCCGCGCUCAACCUGGGAAUGGCGCUUGUGACUGCAAAGCUAGAGUGCGGCAGAGGGGGAUGGAAUUCCGCGUGUAGCAGUGAAAUGCGUAGAUAUGCGGAGGAACACCGAUGGCGAAGGCAAUCCCCUGGGCCUGCACUGACGCUCAUGCACGAAAGCGUGGGGAGCAAACAGGACUAGAUACCCGAGUAGUCCCUGUCUCUUAUAC